rnacentral:rRNA from 1 species
AGCAGCCGCGGUAAUUCCAGCUCCAAUAGCGUAUAUUAAAGUUGUUGCAGUUAAAAAGCUCGUAGUUGAAUUUCGGGAUCAAUAUAUCGGUCGUGCCUCCGGUAUGCACUGGUAUUAUUGAUUUCUACCUUCUGACGAAUCAUGAUGUCAUUAAUUUGGUGUCAUGGGGAAUCAGGACUGUUACUUUGAAAAAUUAGAGUGUUUAAAGCAGGCACACGCUUGAAUACAUUAGCAUGGAAUAAUGAAAUAGGACGUUUGACCCUAUUUUGUUGGUUUCUAGGAUCGACGUAAUGAUUAAUAGGGAUAGUUGGGGGCAUUAGUAUUCAAUUGUCAGAGGUGAAAUUCUUGGAUUUAUUGAAGACUAACUACUGCGAAAGCAUUUGCCAAGGAUGUUUUCAUUAAUCAAGAACGAAAGUUAGGGGAUCGAAGACGAUCAGAUACCGUCGUAGUCUUAACCAUAAACUAUGCCGACUAGGGAUCGGAUGAUGUUAAUUUUAAUGUACUCU